GCUGGGUGUGGUGGUGCGCGCCUGUAAUCCCAGCUACUAAGGAGGCUGAGGCAGGAGAAUCGCUUGAACCUGGAAGGCAGAGGUUGCAGUGAGCUGAGACUGGGCCACUGCACUCCAGCCUGGGUGACAGAGUGAGACUCUGUCUCAA
rfam:Gorilla gorilla gorilla genomic chromosome, chr7, whole genome shotgun sequence